UGUGUUUAUUGUGUGGUGGUGGGGUGAUUAUCAGUUUUAUUGGAAUGUUUUAUAAGCUGCUGGAUUUAUGUACUGAGAAUGAACAGAUAAACAGGGAUGUUAUUCGGCUGUGUCAUGCCAUGGAUUCUCAUCAGAUUUUCCACUAACUUUUAGACAAGGUUAAUUAAUGAGGGAUGUUCACUGCAGAGGAAGUGAAGAAGAAUGGCUGGGUCUGUUAGAUGAUUCAUCUGACCAGGAGGCAGCAGAUGAAACAACUCUUGCAGUUCUGAGGGAAGGAGAAGUAACCUGCCAUGUUGACCUUUCAAAGGAUCACCUAACAAACUCAUUCACUGCUGACACACCACAGCCAUGCUUCCUCAGGGGCUGUGACAUACACUUGGUUUUUCCAACUCUGACCAUAGUGUCUCUCAUGUGAGAAGGUAUACUCUGCAUGUGACAGGCCAGAGAAGCAGCUUCAGAAGGACGUGUCCUGAUUGUCUCAGGUGAGAGGCCCGUUGUGAUGAAGAGUCUGGCUGGGGACAGCCAAGGUAGCAUGAUAAUGGUGGUUGGCAGGCCUAUGGCUCUGAAAAGAGAAGGAAUGUGAGGAAGAAGUGAGGAGGGUACCAG
rnacentral:lncRNA from 1 species